GGAUGUGAGGGCGAUCUGUCUGCAACAUCUGUUACCCUAUUAAUCACCAGGGUUGAUUAGGCUGAUGUGGCUGGCUAGGCAGGUGUCCUGUUCCUCCCUCACUGCUCCAUAUGCAUCUCUCCAAAGUUCUAUCUCCUGGAUAGAAGAGAACCAUCCUUUGGGCCAAGUAUAUACAAGUGGGCUCCCCUGCUAGAACCACCAAACAAGCUCUCAAGGUCCAUUUGUAGGAGAAGGUAAAGUAGUCAAGCUUCUAAGACUUCAGACACAUCCAAAUGAGGUGCUAUAUGUAGCAGUGUUCCUUUCUUA
ensembl:misc_RNA 7SK 7SK RNA